AGACCGAAAGGCGUAGUCGAUGGGAAACAGGUUAAUAUUCCUGUACUUGGUGUUACUGCGAAGGGGGGACGGAGAAGGCUAUGUUAGCCGGGCGACGGUUGUCCCGGUUUAAGCAUGUAGGCUGAUUAUCCAGGCAAAUCCGGAUAAUCAAGGCUGAGGUGUGAUGACGAGGCACUACGGUGCUGAAGUAACAAAUGCCCUGCUUCCAGGAAAAGCCUCUAAGCAUCAGGUAACAUCAAAUCGUACCCCAAACCG
rnacentral:rRNA from 1 species